rnacentral:misc_RNA from 1 species
AUAUUAAUUUUUUAUGCGUUUCCGCAGAUGACAUUCUGAAUACUAUGAGUGUGUAAUAAAUAGACCGGCCAUCCGAACCCCAUAGCCCCGAGAGGCACGUAAACGGGGGGAACAGAAUCAAAUCCGAGUCUCUAAAGGUGCACGAUGGGUGUGAAUGAAUUGAAGAGGCGUGCACUUGUGAGAACCAGCACAACCUCGAUGAUUCGUUAAUGAUCCUUCCGCAGGUUCACCUACGGAAA